GCUGAUCUCGGCGUGACAGCUCAGAGCUGUCCACGUCAACACACCGAGCGAGCGGAGCCGCGGCAGCAGCAGCAGCAGCAAUGGACUCCACGUCUCCGGAACCUUCCCUCUACACAGUAAAGGCUGUUUUUAUUCUUGACAAUGAUGGCAACAGACUUUUGUCAAAGUACUAUGACCCAGAGCUUUACCCCUCCAUGAAGGAGCAGAAAAACUUUGAGAGGAAUGUUUUCAACAAGACGCACAAAGCAGACAAUGAGAUAGCGUUUCUGGAAGGGAUGACCAUCGUGUACAAGAGCAGUAUAGAUCUCUUCUUCUAUGUUGUGGGAAGUGCUCAGGAAAAUGAGCUCAUGCUGAUGUCAGUACUUAACUGCCUGUUUGACUCCCUCAGUCACAUCCUCAGGAAAAAUGUGGAGCGGAGGUGUUUAUUGGACAAUAUGGAAGGAGUGUUUCUCAUUGUGGAUGAAAUCAUUGAUGGGGGGGUGAUUCUGGAGAGUGACCCACAGCAGGUCCUACAGAAGGUCAAUUAUAGGCUAAUGUCAGAGCCAGCCUAUGGCUUCGUCCUGUUUGAUUACAUCACCGGUAACCUAGAGGCACAAACAGACAGGAGCCAGCUGCUGUAGACAGACCAAGGGCGGAUGAGAACCCAUUAACUGAACAAAGUGUGGCCCAGGUUUUGCAGUCAGCCAAGGAGCAGAUCAAAUGGUCUAUACUGAAAUGACUGAAAAAAAAGAGUUUCUCCAAAAAGAAUGAUUCCAGUCCCAAAGCUGUUUUUACAGGAAGGAUGUUACUGAGGUGAUGGCCAACAGGCUGCCUUAUACAGCAACUCACCAGCCGGGAAAAUAAGCGAUCUGGUUUGUUUCUGUGACAGCAUUUUUUCUAUUGUGUGUGACUAUAUUUAAUUUGUUUGGGAGUGAACUUUGCCCAUACUUGUGUAGAAAUGUCAUUCAGCAGGCCAAAAACAAUGUAACAGCCAGGCAGCUAUCCAGUACCAGCCUUAUCAAAAGAAGUCUGAUCUGAUCAUGACUUUAUUUGGUUUAUUUGAUGUAUUUUGCUUUAAAAAAAAAAAGAAGAAGAAGAAAAAUACGCUGAAAAUCUUCUUUUUUUGUGCGACAGUGUUACACAUCCAGAUUAUUUUGUACUAUGUUAACAACACUACAAGAAUACACAAGAUAAUACUCAAAGUUUGUUGUUUUGAAUGUCAGCUGACUCCUCCCACUUAUGUUUUCCAUAAUGCUUAUUUGAAGCCUGAAAGCAAACGCAGUGAUGCUUUCUGACACUGCUGCUUUGUGACACUGUGUUACUGCUGCAGAAAAAAGGAAUUGAAUGAAAAUCUGUACGUGGGAAUGCAUUUUAGAGGCAAUGGGAUUGUGCAGGAUUUUGUGGCCAAAGUUACAAAGAAUAUUAUUUUUUUGUUAAUAAUUAAAGAUUUUAAAAGAGAAAAAGGCCAAAGAGAAACGAAUUAUUUUGCUUACAUAUGAAUGUUGUUAAAGCAAAGAUACUUUUUCUGUUUGCCAGUUUGUGA